ensembl:lncRNA
UCUCAGUCUGUACCAGUGAGCUUACCAACAAUUUCCUAGUGUGUCGUCGCCGUGCAAUUUGGAUACCGUUGCCUGUCUGAUUACCCGAGUACCGGGAAAAUAAUGUGACCGGAUGAGUGUUUUCCCCUCCCUCUUACCUGCACACAGGGGUGUGGACCAGCAUACCUGGGGCUAAUUCCGAUUGAUUGGGAGAGGCGGGGCCAUUACAUAAGCCUGUGGUGUGUGGACUCGCUUUGUUGUCUUCUCCUGCUGGGUGUCUAUGGAGACGUGUCCGGGAGGCGUGCUUCAUGUUUUGGCCGCUGCCCUAGGUCAUCAUUCUGCUGCGGUGUGCGACCCUGUCUUGGUCAUGGAUGUCCCCGUGUGGGUGGAUGUAUGCCUGGACUGCUGGUGUUUGGUGUCUCAUGUGGGCCGCUGUCUGUGUGUGCGAGGUGGGUGCCACUGCCGGGGUCCGUGGGCGGCCUGUACUGUAAUUCGCUGGACCGGGCUGCAGCCUUGGACAUGCUAUUGUGGGGCUAUCCUGGUGCCACGACUAAUUAAAGGGCCAAUAUUCCCCAGAGCGUUCUCCCUCCCCCACUGAACCUGUUCUUGAUACCGGCUGAAACCCAUCUGGUAAAACUUCUGACUACACAAGCAAUCUGGAAACUGGUACAAAAAUGUCUCUCUAUAGUGUAUUAACUGUUGUGUAUGUGUAUAUAUUGCAUGUAGGUCUUUUCCUUUUUUUUAUUUUGUUUGCAUCUUCCUUUUUAUGCAUGCCGGUUUAUUGAUUUGAAUUGUUUUGUUUAUUUUCUUAUCACUGAUCUACUCCUUAACAAAUAACAUAUUGUCAUUUUAAAAUGAAUAUUUAACUAAAUAAAACCGUAUAUUUUUAUAAUUCCCUUAUGGUCUCUGACCCCUGAUUUUGGUGAACGGCUCUGUGUGCCUUAACGUGAAUGGUCUUGGGCCUAUCCCAAGUGGCGUUGUUGGACAUUGUUAUUUUCCUUGAGUGUCAUAGGCCACUCGUAUUGCCACAAUAAGUAAGAAAAUAAAUGUAGUUUGACUACACUGUAACCACAUCCAUCUUUAGAGCGAUCUCUAGCUUUCCGCAUCUGGUGACCACUUCUUCCAUUCUGCUCAGUCCUGUGUAUGCGGAAUCUGAAUAACACUUCAUUGCCUUGUAAAAAAGAUCUUUCCACUGUUAAUGUGGGAUCCACGCUCAGAACAAUCACAUAUGGCCUCAGUUGUCUCCAAGUUGACAUCUCCUUGUGCCGCUUGUAUAGCACUAUUCUCUUUGACAGUUCGAUCGUCUUAAUCUUCCAUAAAAAUGUUACCCCAAAUUACACUACCAGGCAAUAGCCAUAGUCAUAUGGGCAACAUGCAAGCGGAUGUAAAGGACUUUGCUUCUGUUGAUUAAACUGAAAAGUCCAUUCCAAAGAGUGACUGGCAGGAUAUAACAGUGUGGUUAACACACACCAGAGGACCAUAUUGAGUGUGUGUAUAUUGAAUGAAAAGGUACAGUCUGCAGUUAACUGUAUAAUACAUAUAUUUUUGACCAUGCAUUUACAGGGACUUAUGGAAAGACAAUCCCUUUAUAUGUAUUAGAUCCCUAUAAAAACAGAACAAAUUUGCUUUUCUAAUGCUGUUGCCACAUAAAAUGUCAUCUAUUCCCAGUUUGAUUUAAAUCUUUAUUUUGUGUGCCUG